rnacentral:antisense_RNA from 21 species
AAUUAUGGUGGGGCGUACAGGGGCAUCGCAAGAUGCGCCGGUAAGGGUAGCCGCCGGUAACGCCAACUCUGUACGUCUCACCACCUCU